rnacentral:rRNA from 1 species
UUGGGGAUGGACUCGCGGCUUAUCAGCUUGUUGGUGGGGUAGUGGCUUACCAAGGCUUUGACGGGUAGCCGGCCUGAGAGGGUGACCGGCCACAUUGGGACUGAGAUACGGCCCAGACUCCUACGGGAGGCAGCAGGUGGGGAAUAUUGCACAAUGGGCGGAAGCCUGAUGCAGCAACGCCGCGUGCGGGAUGACGGCCUUCGGGUUGUAAACCGCUUUCGCCUGUGACGAAGCGUGAGUGACGGUAAUGGGUAAAGAAGCACCGGCUAACUACGUG